rnacentral:rRNA from 1 species
UACAGAGGUCUCGAGCGUUGUUCGGAUUCAUUGGGCGUAAAGGGCGCGUAGGCGGCGGGGUAAGUCUGGUGUGAAAUCUCGGAGCUCAACUCCGAAAUUGCACUGGAUACUGCUCUGCUAGAGGGCUGGAGAGGAGAUCGGAAUUCACGGUGUAGCAGUGAAAUGCGUAGAUAUCGGGAGGAACACCGGUGGCGAAGGCGGGUCUCUGGGCAAUUCCUGACGCUGAGGCGCGAAAGCGUGGGGAGCAAACGGG